AAGGAAAGAAAAGUAGAUCUACUCCAGAGUACCACGAGACACGUGAAACCUUGUGGGAAGCUGGGAGGACCAUCUCCCAAGGCUAAAUACUACCUAGUGACCGAUAGUGAAGCAGUACCGUGAGGGAAAGGUGAAAAGAACCCCGGAAGGGGAGUGAAAUAGAAUCUGAAACCGUGUGCCUACAAUCGGUCGGAGCACAUUAAAGUGUGACGGCGUACUUUUUGUAGAACGGGCCAGCGAGUUACGAUAUAUAGCAAGGUUAAGCACUUAUGGUGUGGAGCCGAAGGGAAACCGAGUCUGAAUAGGGCAACUAGUUGUAUAUUGUAGACCCGAAACCGAGUGACCUAUCCAUGGCCAGGAUGAAGCGGAAGUAAAAUUCCGUGGAGGUCCGAACCACGUUGGUGUUGAAAAACCAUGGGAUGAGCUGUGGAUAGCGGAGAAAUUCCAAUCGAACUCGGAGAUAGCUGGUUCUCCUCGAAAUAGCUUUAGGGCUAGCGUCGGGUAAUUGAGUAGUGGAGGUAGAGCACUGAAUGGGCUAGGGGCUGACAACAGUUACUGA
rnacentral:rRNA from 1 species